UCUUUCCCUUUUUCUCUCUAAACAGAAACCAUUUUUCCUAAAUAAUUGCUCUGCCUUCUCUCUAAAAGAUCCAAACGUUUAAAUUUUAAUUUGAAGGUGCCUAAACGAUCGCGGUGGCAAGAGCUUCAUUUUGAACCGAAUAGUUUCCUGUUCCGACCGGUUUUGUCAAGUUCCGCUCUGUGUGGAGGGUACUGUUAGGGCAUCUACUGUGAAUUGUAUUGAGCAACCCAAAAGAAGUUAAGGGGAGCUAAUUAUUUUUGGGUUGAAUCUGUUUUAUGUAUAUGUAUGCAUGUUAAUUUCGAAAAUGAUAUUUUUCCUACAGGGCGUUUCUGUUUUAUCAAAGAUUUGUGCAUCU
rnacentral:sRNA from 1 species